AAGUUCCAGAAGGCUCUCUGCGGGUUUGGCAGUUGACACAUCAGUUGCUGCUGGCAGUCAAAGGCUGUGCUUGCAGCCUGGUACCUCUGCACUGCUUCUUAAGGAGUGAGCAAGAGGCUCUGUGGGACCAUGCUGCUUCCUGGGGUUAAACCAGAGAAUUGCCCUUUUUCAGUUUUUACCAGACGGACUUCAAUUACCAGUUGGCAUUCAACUGCCCUGUUAAGCUGAGCAAUGAAUGAUAUCUCCUUAUAAAAAUCUGAUUAGGAAACCUGCCUUCAAAGAAUUUUCACUUACUGAGUUUUUUCACAAAAGGACACUGAGGCAACUCCUGAUUUUUUGAGUUAAAAUGGAUGGACAAGGACAGAAAGAGACAACAUUGGUAAAGGCAAAAGGAUUUGGUUCCUAGCUUGUCCACCAGAAGCAGCAGAACGAGUUACUUUGUAUAAUAUCAGGAGCCUAUUAUCCAGUAUUUGUUGCUGUUGAUCAACUGUUGAUAGAGCACAUAGAGUUUGAAUUGGUAAAUCUGUAAUUAAACAACAAAACAAAACAUG